UCACUUUGGCAGCACAUAUACUAAAAUUGGAAUGAUACAGAGAAGAUUAGCAUGGCCCCUAUGCAAGGAUGACAUUCAAAUUCAUGGAGCGUUCCAUAUUUUU
rnacentral:snRNA from 1 species